UACGAAGGGGGGCUAGCGUUGCUCGGAAUCACUGGGCGUAAAGGGUGCGUAGGCGGGUCUUUAAGUCAGGGGUGAAAUCCUGGAGCUCAACUCCAGAACUGCCUUUGAUACUGAAGAUCUUGAGUUCGGGAGAGGUGAGUGGAACUGCGAGUGUAGAGGUGAAAUUCGUAGAUAUUCGCAAGAACACCAGUGGCGAAGGCGGCUCACUGGCCCGAUACUGACGCUGAGGCACGAAAAGCGUGGGGAGCAA
rnacentral:rRNA from 1 species